UACGUAGGGCGCAAGCGUUAUCCGGAAUUAUUGGGCGUAAAGAGCUCGUAGGCGGUUUGUCGCGUCUGCCGUGAAAGUCCGGGGCUCAACCCCGGAUCUGCGGUGGGUACGGGCAGACUAGAGUGAUGUAGGGGAGACUGGAAUUCCUGGUGUAGCGGUGAAAUGCGCAGAUAUCAGGAGGAACACCGAUGGCGAAGGCAGGUCUCUGGGCAUUAACUGACGCUGAGGAGCGGAAGCAUGGGGAGCGAACAGG
rnacentral:rRNA from 1 species